AACGAACGCUGGCGGCAUGCCUAACACAUGCAAGUCGAACGAGACCUUCGGGUCUAGUGGCGCACGGGUGCGUAACGCGUGGGAACCUGCCCUUAGGUUCGGAAUAACUCCCCGAAAGGGGUGCUAAUACCGGAUAAUGUCUUCGGACCAAAGAUUUGUCGCCUUUGGAUGGGCCGGCGUUGGAUUAGCUAGUUGGUAGGGUAAAAGCCUACCAAGGCGACGAUCCAUAGCUGGUCUGAGAGGAUGAUCAGCCACACUGGGACUGAGACACGGCCCAGACUCCUACGGGAGGCAGCAGUGGGGAAUAUUGGACAAUGGGCGAAAGCAUGAUCCAGCAAGGACGCGUGAGUGAUGAAGGCCUUAGGGUUGUAAAGCUCUUUUACCCGGGAUGAUAAUGACAGUACCGGGAGAAUAAGCACCGGCUAACUCCGUG
rnacentral:rRNA from 1 species